UGGGAUGGGGGCAGCUACCAUGCAAGUCGAGCGGUAACAGAUCCAGCUUGCUGGAUGCUGACGAGCGGCGGACGGGUGAGUAAUGCAUAGGAAUCUGCCCGAUAGUGGGGGAUAACCUGGGGAAACCCAGGCUAAUACCGCAUACGUCCUACGGGAGAAAGGGGGCUUCGGCUCCCGCUAUCGGAUGAGCCUAUGUCGGAUUAGCUAGUUGGUGAGGUAACGGCUCACCAAGGCCACGAUCCGUAGCUGGUCUGAGAGGAUGAUCAGCCACAUCGGGACUGAGACACGGCCCGAACUCCUACGGGAGGCAGCAGUGGGGAAUAUUGGACAAUGGGGGGAACCCUGAUCCAGCCAUGCCGCGUGUGUGAAGAAGGCCCUCGGGUUGUAAAGCACUUUCAGCGAGGAAGAACGCCUAGCGGUUAAUACCCGCUAGGAAAGACAUCACUCGCAGAAGAAGCACCGGCUAACUCCGUGCCAGCAGCCGCGGUAAUACGGAGGGUGCAAGCGUUAAUCGGAAUUACUGGGCGUAAAGCGCGCGUAGGUGGCUUGAUAAGCCGGUUGUGAAAGCCCCGGGCUCAACCUGGGAACGGCAUCCGGAACUGUCAAGCUAGAGUGCAGGAGAGGAAGGUAGAAUUCCCGGUGUAGCGGUGAAAUGCGUAGAGAUCGGGAGGAAUACCAGUGGCGAAGGCGGCCUUCUGGACUGACACUGACACUGAGGUGCGAAAGCGUGGGUAGCAAACAGGAUUAGUUCCCUG
rnacentral:rRNA from 1 species